GCAUAUCAAUAAGCGGAGGAAAAGAAACCAACAGGGAUUGCCUUAGUAGCGGCGAGUGAAGCGGCAAGAGCUCAAAUUUGAAAUCUGGUACUUUCAGUAUCCGAGUUGUAAUUUGAAGAAAGUUAUCUUGGAGUUGGCCUUUGUCUAUGUUCCUUGGAACAGGACGUCACAGAGGGUGAGAAUCCCGUGCGAUGAGGUGCCCAUUCUAUGUAAGAUACUUUCGACGAGUCGAGUUGUUUGGGAAUGCAGCUCUAAGUGGGUGGUAAAUUCCAUCUAAAGCUAAAUAUUGGCGAGAGACCGAUAGCGAACAAGUACAGUGAUGGAAAGAUGAAAAGAACUUUGAAAAGAGAGUGAAAAAGUACGUGAAAUUGUUGAAAGGGAAGGGUAUUUGAUCAGACUGAUAUUCAGUUAACACUCUUCCUUGUGGAUGGUGCUCUAGCUUUUUAUUGGGCCAGCAUCAGUUUAGGUGGCAGGAUAAGAACUGUUGAACGUGGCUCUUCGGAGUGUUAUAGCUUCAGUUGAUACUGCCUAUCUAGACUGAGGUCUGCGGCUUUGCCUAGGAUGCUGGC
rnacentral:rRNA from 1 species